GUGGGGAAUAUUGGACAAUGGGCGCAAGCCUGAUCCAGCCAUGCCGCGUGUGUGAAGAAGGCCUUCGGGUUGUAAAGCACUUUUGUCCGGGAAGAAAUCUUCCAGGUUAAUACCCUGGGAGGCUGACGGUACCGGAAGAAUAAGCACCGGCUAACUUCGUGCCAGCAGCCGCGGUAAUACGAAGGGUGCAAGCGUUACUCGGAAUUACUGGGCGUAAAGCGUGCGUAGGUGGUUCGUUAAGUCUGCCGUGAAAGCCCCGGGCUCAACCUGGGAAUGGCGGUGGAUACUGGCGGGCUAGAGUGCGGUAGAGGGUGGUGGAAUUCCCGGUGUAGCAGUGAAAUGCGUAGAGAUCGGGAGGAACAUCUGUGGCGAAGGCGGCCACCUGGACCAGCACUGACACUGAGGCACGAAAGCGUGGGGAGCAAACAGGAUUAGAAACCCGUGUAGUCC
rnacentral:rRNA from 1 species